GAUGAAGAACGUAGCAAAAUGCGAUAAGUAAUGUGAAUUGCAGAAUUCAGUGAAUCAUCGAAUCUUUGAACGCACAUUGCGCCCGCCAGUAUUCUGGCGGGCAUGCCUGUUCGAGCGUCAUUUCAACCCUCAAGCACAGCUUGGUGUUGGGACUCGCGUUAAUUCGCGUUCCCCAAAUUGAUUGGCGGUCACGUCGAGCUUCCAUAGCGUAGUAGUAAAACCCUCGUUACGGGUAAUCGUCGCGGCCACGCCGUUAAACCCCAACUUCUGAAUGUUGACCUCGGAUCAGGUAGGAAUACCCGCUGAACUUAAGCAUAUCAAUAGCGGAGGA
rnacentral:misc_RNA from 1 species